rnacentral:rRNA from 1 species
UGCGUAGGCAGCAAGCGUUGUUCGGAAUUACUGGGCGUAAAGAGUGUGUAGGCGGUGUCGUAAGUUUGGCGUGAAAUCUCCCGGCUUAACUGGGAGGGUGCGCCGAAGACUGCGAUGCUUGAGGAUCGGAGAGGAAAGUGGAAUUUCUGGUGUAGCGGUGAAAUGCGCAGAUAUCAGGAGGAACACCGGUGGCGAAGGCGGGUCUCUGGGCCGAUACUGACGCUGAGGAACGAAAGCGUGGGGAGCGAACAGG